AGCAGCCGCGGUAAUUCCAGCUCCAAUAGCGUAUAUUAAAGUUGUUGCAGUUAAAAGCUCGUAGUUGAAUUUCGGGAUUGACGUGAUGGUCAUGCCUUAAGGGGUAUGAACUGUUACUGUUGAUUUCUCACCUUCUGGAGAACCGCGAUGCCCUUAAUUGGGUGUCGCGGGGAACCAGGACCUUUACUUUGAAAAAAUUAGAGUGUUUAAAGCAGGCAUUUUGCUUGAAUACAUUAGCAUGGAAUAAUAAAAUAGGACGGCAUGAUUCUAUUUUGUUGGUUUCUAGGAUCACCGUAAUGAUUAAUAGGGAUAGUUGGGGGCAUUAGUAUUCAAUUGUCAGAGGUGAAAUUCUUGGAUUUAUUGAAGACUAACUACUGCGAAAGCAUUUGCCAAGGAUGUUUUCAUUAAUCAAGAACGAAAGUUAGGGGAUCGAAGACGAUCAGAUACCGUCGUAGUCUUAACCAUAAACUAUGCCGACUAGGAAUCAGACGAUGUUAAUUUUUUAAUGACUCGUUUGGCA
rnacentral:rRNA from 1 species